GACGAACCGAGCGAACGUUGUUCGGAAUCACUGGGCUUAAAGGGCGCGUAGGCGGGCUGCCGCGUCCGGGGUGAAAUCCCACGGCUCAACCGUGGAACGGCCCCGGGUACGGGCGGCCUCGAGGAAGGUAGGGGCGUGCGGAACUGUGGGUGGAGCGGUGAAAUGCGUUGAUAUCCACAGGAACUCCGGUGGCGAAGGCGAGGUGCUGGACCCCUUCUGACGCUGAGGCGCGAAAGCCAGGGGAGCGAACGGG
rnacentral:rRNA from 1 species